rnacentral:rRNA from 1 species
CCUACGGGUGGCAGCAGUAGGGAAUAUUGCGCAAUGGGGGAAAGCCUGACGCAGCAACGCCGCGUGAAGGAUGAAGGUUUUAGGAUUGUAAACUUCUUUUGUGAGGGAAGAUAAUGACGGUCUCUCACCAAUAGGCACCUGCCAACUCCGGGACAGCGGCCGCGGUAAUACGGAGGGUGCGCGGGUUCAUCGGAAGCACUGGGCGUAAAGUGUGUGCAGGCGGGUGGGUAAGUCAGAUGUGAAAUCCUGUAGCUCAACUACAGAACUGCAUUUGAAACUAGGAGUCUAGAGUGUGGGAGAGGUAGGUGGAAUUCGUGGUGUAGGGGUGAAAUCCGUAGAUAUCAAGAGGAAUACUCAUUGCGAAGGCGACUUACUGGAACAUUACUGACGCUGAUGCACGAAAGCGUGGGGAGCAAACAGGAUUAGAUACCCGAGUAGUC